rnacentral:tRNA from 1 species
CGUAGCAUAAUCCGGUUUUGCCAAAGACCUAAGCCCUUUUCAUAGAAGUUCAAAUCUUCUCGCUAGCU